rnacentral:rRNA from 1 species
AGCUUGCUCCCUUAGGUCAGCGGCGGACGGGUGAGUAACACGUGGGUAACCUGCCUGUAAGACUGGGAUAACUCCGGGAAACCGGGGCUAAUACCGGAUGCUUGAUUGAACCGCAUGGUUCAAUCAUAAAAGGUGGCUUUUAGCUACCACUUGCAGAUGGACCCGCGGCGCAUUAGCUAGUUGGUGAGGUAACGGCUCACCAAGGCGACGAUGCGUAGCCGACCUGAGAGGGUGAUCGGCCACACUGGGACUGAGACACGGCCCAGACUCCUACGGGAGGCAGCAGUAGGGAAUCUUCCGCAAUGGACGAAAGUCUGACGGAGCAACGCCGCGUGAGUGAUGAAGGUUUUCGGAUCGUAAAACUCUGUUGUUAGGGAAGAACAAGUACCGUUCGAAUAGGGCGGCACCUUGACGGUACCUAACCAGAAAGCCACGGCUAACUACGUGCCAGCAGCCGCGGUAAUACGUAGGUGGCAAGCGUUGUCCGGAAUUAUUGGGCGUAAAGCGCGCGCAGGCGGUUUCUUAAGUCUGAUGUGAAAGCCCCCGGCUCAACCGGGGAGGGUCAUUGGAAACUGGGGAACUUGAGUGCAGAAGAGGAGAGUGGAAUUCCACGUGUAGCGGUGAAAUGCGUAGAGAUGUGGAGGAACACCAGUGGCGAAGGCGACUCUCUGGUCUGUAACUGACGCUGAGCGCGAAAGCGUGGGGAGCGAACAGGAUUAGAUACCCUGGUAGUCCACGCCGUAAACGAUGAGUGCUAAGUGUUAGAGGGUUUCCGCCCUU